AAAUACAGAAACAGCUCGAGAGAUUUAAAAGCCACGAGGAGUCUAGCUUGUAUCACAGUCUUAUCUGAAUCUCCAACAAAGCCGAUUCGCCAUGAAACUCACUUUGCUGUUCCUCUUGGUCUGCUUGUUCUUAGCAGCAUUUGCAACUGCACAGAAAAACAACAGGCCAAAAACAACCAUUGAAAUUUCACACCAAAGAGAUAAAAGUCCCUACGGGAAAGAAACUCGGCAGACCUUUAAAAUCAACCAAGAUGCAUGGGUGAGCAAAAAUGGGAAUUGGCGUGCUGGUGGCUACGUUCAGCACGACAGGACGAAAUUUAAUGGGCACCGGAUGAAAGAUACCCAUGGUGGUAUUCAAAUCACUGGAAGAUUCUGAAUCUUUUAAAUUUAAUGUCUACUUUUUAUACUCAAUAAAAUUUUUUACUUAAAUA